rnacentral:rRNA from 1 species
UACGUAGGGUGCAAGCGUUGUCCGGAAUUAUUGGGCGUAAAGAGCUCGUAGGCGGUCUGUUGCGUCGGCUGUGAAAACCCGAGGCUCAACCUCGGGCCUGCAGCCGAUACGGGCAGACUAGAGUUCGGCAGGGGGAGACUGGAAUUCCUGGUGUAGCGGUGAAAUGCGCAGAUAUCAGGAGGAACACCGGUGGCGAAGGCGGGGUCUCUGGGGCCGAUACUGACGUGGAGGAGCGAAAAGCGUGGGGAGCGAAACAGG